rnacentral:rRNA from 1 species
AGCUCUGUGGAAGAGACGAUAAUGACGGGACCAAAGGAGGAAGCCACGGCUAACAACGUGCCAGCAGCCGCGGUAAUACGUAGGUGGGGAGCGUUGUCCGGAUUUACUGGGCGUAAAUUGCGUGUAGGCGGAUGUUUAAGUGAGAUGUGAAAUACCCGGGCUUAACUUGGGUGCUGCAUUUCCAACUGGAUAUCUAGAGUUGAGGAGAGGAGAAUGGAAUUCCUAGUGUAGCGGUGAAAUGCGUACACAUUAGGAAGAACACCAGUGGCGAAGGCGAUUCUCUGGACUGUAACUGACGCUGAGCCCCCAAAGCGUGGGUACCGCCAGGAUUAGAUUUUUUGGUAGUCCACGCCGUAAACGAUGAGUACUAGGUGUAGGAGGAAUCGACCCCUUCUGUGCCGCAGAAAACACAUUACGUACUCCGCCUGGGAAGUACUAUCCGCCAGAUUAAAACUCAAAAAGAAUUGACGG